rnacentral:lncRNA from 1 species
CAAUGACACUGCUAUGACUCUUCCUGUUUCUUCUUUCUUCUGCGCACUCAGAUCAUCCUGUUUCUCUGCUGCAAGCUUCUGAGGAAACCGGGUCAUUGAGUGCAACAUGGGGUGGACUGCCCUCCACUCCAGAGCAAGUACAGGACUAGGUGUAUGUUUGGCUCCCCCUGUCUAUCUCUUUAUCCAGGAUAUUGGGAGAAUCAGCAUCCAGGAAUCUGAAUAACUCCACCCAAUCAUUACUAAAGGGACCUUCUGGGCUACAGUGAAAUAUUUAAUCAAUUUCCACAUCCUUGGAAAGUGCUAAUAUGGGCAGAAAACACAUGUUUUAGGAGCUGGAAGAAAGGGCACCUAAAAAAUGUGAGUUCAUUCUGACCCAAUCCAGUGUAAGUGAUGAAGAUCAGCAACAGGAACUACGAGAGAAGUCACUUGGUGGGGCAUAAUAUUUGAGCUGUAACACUACCAUAAUGGAAAACUCUGAAAUGCCCCACUCUUUGGGUAAUCAUUGAGUAUUAUAGGCAAAAGUAUUUUCCUAUGAAAAAGAAGCAGUAGCAUCCACUGGGAACUUCAGUGGCAUGCACACAAAGCAAUACAGAGAAAUUCUAUAGCAGGAUAACAACAGCAAGAGAGACAUCCAAUGCUGAGGCGGGAAACUUCAAGGAGCCAGAACGGUGAAUACCAGCAACUAGAAGCUGUGGAGGGGUAGCUGGGGACCCAGUACAUAGAAUAUUGGGGCCAGCGUGAAGAAGAUCUCAGUUCAAAACUAGCCUCAGACACUAACUCACUGGGCCCUUGGGCAAAUUACUUAACCUCUGUCUACCUUAGUUUCCACCACUAAAAAAUGAGGAUAAUAAUAGCACCUACCUCUCAGGGUAGGAUGUGAGGGUCAGAUGAGGUAACAUUUGCAAAGCAUUUAGCACAGUAUCUUGUACAUAGAAAGCAUUCAAAAAAAAAUACUUGUUUCCUUCUUUACUAUGAAGAGCUGCAAUAGGCACCCUAAAGAACCAUCAGAGGAAACACCUAACACCUGCAAUUAUAAAGGUCUCUGAGAUCGCUCUUCGACACGUGUCAAUAUUUUUUUUAAAAUCUCUGAUAAAGAAUCUAUUUGUCUUCUUUAACCUGUAAACAAACCUUGACUUCUUUGGGAUUUAUGAACCAUGUACUUGCAAGGGGAUUUGUGGAUAACACACUGGAUAGGAUCACAUAAUGAAGUUCUCAGAUUUUCUGGGUGAGAGCAAUGAGCCAAAGAUGUGAUAGCUCUCUUGGGAUAUUCGUGUCUUGGGAGAGGCUCCUACCCAAGAUUUUCACAUGUAAAAAAGCUUUAUAACAUGGUAAAGCACUACAUACAUGUAAGUUUCUUAUUUGUUUUUUGUUGUUAUUGCUUUACUGUGUCCUCCCUACCCCCAAAGAAAAAUAAAGCUUUACUGCAUCUAGAAAUUUGAGAGAAA